AUAACUAAUGGAAUUUAAUAUUUCUCCCCUGAUGUUUAUGUAAGUAUUACAUCAGCUGAUGGCACUGGAACAAGUUCAGACAUUAAUGGUGGUUUGUAGAAGAUGAUCCUUCUUCCUUUCCAUUUGGUACUGCUAUCAUGAAUGCUUCCAGUAUGAUGUCCAAUACUACCAAACCAGGGACAUAUGCGUAUAUAUUGUCACUGAAUGAUUAUAUCACCAGAUACUUCAGUUGGCAUGUGAGGCUUUGAGGAUCAAUGAUGUAGAUGUACCAUUUUUUGUAAUGACUAAUGGCAUUCUAUUUUAUCAUCUUUUUGUUUUUCUUGACUAUUAUUGUUUUCAAUUAGGGAUGAAUUCACUUUUGUUUUAACACUAGUUUGCUAUGAAUUAUUAAUCUUAUCAUUAUUUUGUAAUGGAUUUUUUAAAUAAGGAUUUUUGUAUUAGACAAGAAAAGGAAAAGAAAGGGAGAGAGUGUCUAAAAGAGAUUGUGACAGACUUUGAUUAUAAAAUGAACUAGAAGACAGUACAUCAGGUGCUAUGUAAAAGGUGGACAUGAAUGUACUUCACGUGUUUAUGAUGAAGUGGUACUAGUGUUGAAGAAUGCAAACAUUGACAAUACCAGUAAUUAGUGACAAUUAAGAAGUCAUACCAAUAUCUAUCAUCAUGUUGCAAGCAGUAAAUGGCAAUAUAGUGUGUUCUAACAACGAUAAUUUGAUUGGUCAGUUUUUAAAAGGCAUGUACAUAUAAGUACAUACAGUAUUAUCAUAUAUUGCUUGUAACAUAUGAUGAUAGAUAAUGAUGUUU